GGGGGCGACCUGGUUUCGACGCGGGUUUCGACGCAGCGCAGGGCAUGCCGAGGACCAGUGACCUCGUAAAUCCAUCUGGAAACACUACAAACGCCAACGACGAGCGUUUCGCUCUCGCGGCCUAAUACCCGCGAGACGCUGCACUAGCCUGCUGGUGGGCUAGGCUCCCUAAAAGGAGUGCAGCGUCAUUCACACCAGCCUCUCCUCCGGGUCUGGCCGCUUGGCCCGGGGGAUCCGUCGAAGCGGCUAGCCGAGGACCAGCCUGCCGGUGGGCGGGUGCGAGGCGAAGCUCAAAUCACCAGGCUAAGCAUGUAGUCCUGACUGCCGAGGGCUUGCGGACGCGGGUUCGAUUCCCGCCGCCUCCACCA
rnacentral:tmRNA from 1 species